AAACGCGGCUGGAGAGCAAGGGAGACCCUGUCCGUGGACAGAACGCUGAACAGUGUCUGACCAUCGCGAUUGGUGAGGAACCGAUCGCCACAAAUCAGCCCCUCACUGUCCCCUCGCAACAAUAAAACUCUGCUUGAAGUAUUCCAGGCGCUACUGUACACAGGAUGCCUGCCUCAGUACAGUGCUUCAGAUGACCCACAAAGAAAUACCUCGGUCGAUUGCUGCAAUUUUCUUCUGUUCUGUGACUGGAUAUGCGUGGCCAGUGCAGUAAUCACCCACGCACAAAGCUUUGAUUUCAACCACAGUGUUUUUAAAUGUUAUUACACUGUUGGCUCUAGGCUGGGGGGGGAGGGUGGAGGGGGGAACUAAAAUGGUUACAAUAAAACUGUGUUGUGAAAGAGUCAAUGCUAAGUUAUAGGACCCAGAAAGAGAUACUGUUGCAGUGAGUUAGAUUCUGUUGCUUGAAGGAGGCAGGCCAAAGAGGUUGGCCCAGUUUCUGUAAAUCUUUUUACUUUCUUCUUCCCCAGUUAGGAACAACUGAAUGUGUAGACAAACUAAAGUGAUCCUGGCCCAUUUCUUUCCACAAGUAGGGAUAGAAGCUUAAAGUAAAAGCAGACUUAAGUGGCAGAGGAAAAUACUGAGAGAACUGAAAGAAGACAGUAGGGUCCGGAUGUGGACACCCUAACCAAGAAAAGGUUAACGGUAUAAAAGGCCAGUAGGGUGAAGGUUGGGGUUUUUUGUUGUUGUUGUUGUUAUGUUUUGUUUUUCUGUUCUUAUCACCAGGAAGUGCACGAUAUAUUUUAAAUCUCAUUAUCUACUAAGGACUUCUGAAUCGUAUCUUUUCUGAUUGAUGCGCCUUUCCUUGAAGAUACUUCCUGCCCUUCUGUCUAGAACUUUGUCGGACACAGCUGGAUGUGUUUUCUACAGCUCAUAAGGUUCAUAUAUAUCAACCGGAGUUCUCCUGUGUCUCCAAAAUUACCAGAACUAUAGGUUAACAAUAAUUAUCCUCUACAAAGACUUCAACACUUGUUUACCCUAUAAAAAUGUCCAUAUUUAUACUUCCCUUCAAGAAUGAGUGUGUACUUUUGAACAGCAGUUAAUGAUUUUUUUAAUAUAUGUCUAAUUCAGGCAAUUUUAUAAUAUGUUAGGAGCUAGCAUCAUUUCAGAGUUCUUUGUAAGUUAAAGAAAAAUAUAUGUUACACAUGACCUACUUUUAUACCAAACAUUUUCACAUGCUUGCCUUAUAUUCAAAAGCAAUUGUGUGGGGGUGUUGUUGUUGUUGUUCUCUUAGUAAAUAUUCAAAAUAGUAAAAAAGGGAAUCUACAUAAUUGCA
rnacentral:lncRNA from 1 species